AGAGUUUGAUCAUGGCUCAGGAUGAACGCUAGCUACAGGCUUAACACAUGCAAGUCGAGGGGCAGCAUGGUCUUAGCUUGCUAAGGCCGAUGGCGACCGGCGCACGGGUGAGUAACACGUAUCCAACCUGCCGUCUACUCUUGGACAGCCUUCUGAGAGGAAGAUUAAUACAAGAUGGCAUCAUGAGUCCACAUGUUCACAUGAUUAAAGGUAUUCCGGUAGACGAUGGGGAUGCGUUCCAUUAGAUAGUAGGCGGGGUAACGGCCCACCUAGUCUUCGAUGGAUAGGGGUUCUGAGAGGAAGGUCCCCCACAUUGGAACUGAGACACGGUCCAAACUCCUACGGGAGGCAGCAGUGAGGAAUAUUGGUCAAUGGGCGAGAGCCUGAACCAGCCAAGUAGCGUGAAGGAUGACUGCCCUAUGGGUUGUAAACUUCUUUUAUAAAGGAAUAAAGUCGGGUAUGCAUACCCGUUUGCAUGUACCUUAUGAAUAAGGAUCGGCUAACUCCGUGCCAGCAGCCGCGGUAAUACGGAGGAUCCGAGCGUUAUCCGGAUUUAUUGGGUUUAAAGGGAGCGUAGAUGGAUGUUUAAGUCAGUUGUGAAAGUUUGCGGCUCAACCGUAAAAUUGCAGUUGAUACUGGAUAUCUUGAGUGCAGUUGAGGCAGGCGGAAUUCGUGGUGUAGCGGUGAAAUGCUUAGAUAUCACGAAGAACUCCGAUUGCGAAGGCAGCCUGCUAAGCUGCAACUGACAUUGAGGCUCGAAAGUGUGGGUAUCAAACAGGAUUAGAUACCCUGGUAGUCCACACGGUAAACGAUGAAUACUCGCUGUUUGCGAUAUACUGCAAGCGGCCAAGCGAAAGCGUUAAGUAUUCCACCUGGGGAGUACGCCGGCAACGGUGAAACUCAAAGGAAUUGACGGGGGCCCGCACAAGCGGAGGAACAUGUGGUUUAAUUCGAUGAUACGCGAGGAACCUUACCCGGGCUUAAAUUGCAGAUGAAUUACGGUGAAAGCCGUAAGCCGCAAGGCAUCUGUGAAGGUGCUGCAUGGUUGUCGUCAGCUCGUGCCGUGAGGUGUCGGCUUAAGUGCCAUAACGAGCGCAACCCUUGUUGUCAGUUACUAACAGGUUCUGCUGAGGACUCUGACAAGACUGCCAUCGUAAGAUGUGAGGAAGGUGGGGAUGACGUCAAAUCAGCACGGCCCUUACGUCCGGGGCUACACACGUGUUACAAUGGGGGGUACAGAGGGCCGCUACCACGCGAGUGGAUGCCAAUCCCAAAAACCUCUCUCAGUUCGGACUGGAGUCUGCAACCCGACUCCACGAAGCUGGAUUCGCUAGUAAUCGCGCAUCAGCCACGGCGCGGUGAAUACGUUCCCGGGCCUUGUACACACCGCCCGUCAAGCCAUGGGAGCCGGGGGUACCUGAAGUGCGUAACCGCGAGGAGCGCCCUAGGGUAAAACUGGUGGCUGGGGCUAAGUCGUAACAAGGUA
rnacentral:rRNA from 1 species